rnacentral:rRNA from 1 species
GGCGGACGGGUGAGUAACACGUGAGAAUCUACCUUCAGGACAGGGACAACAGAUGGAAACGCCUGCUAACCCCUGAUGAGCCGAUUGGUAAAAGAUUUAUCGCCUGAAGAGGAGCUCGCGUCUGAUUAGCUAGUUGGUGAGGUAAAGGCUUACCAAGGCAACGAUCAGUAGCUGGUUUGAGAGGAUGAUCAGCCACACUGGGACUGAGACACGGCCCAGACUCCUACGGGAGGCAGCAGUGGGGAAUUUUCCGCAAUGGGCGAAAGCCUGACGGAGCAAUACCGCGUGAGGGAGGAAGGCCUUUGGGUCGUAAACCUCUUUUCUUAGGGAAGAAGCACUGACGGUACCUAAAGAAUAAGCAUCGGCUAACUCCGUGCCAGCAGCCGCGGUAAUACGGAGGAUGCAAGCGUUAUCCGGGAUCAUUGGGCGUAAAGCGUCCGCAGGUGGCUAGUCAAGUCUGCGGUCAAAGACCGGGGCUCAACCCCGGAGAGGCCGUGGAAACUGACAAGCUAGAGUCCGGUAGGGGCAGAGGGAAUUCCCAGUGUAGCGGUGAAAUGCGUAGAGAUUGGGAAGAACAUCGGUGGCGAAAGCGCUCUGCUGGGCCGGAACUGACACUGAGGGACGAAAGCUAAGGGAGCGAAUGGGAUUAGAUACCCCAGUAGUCUUAGCUGUAAACGAUGGAAACUAGGCGUGGCUUGUAUCGACCCGAGCCGUGCCGAAGCUAACGCGUUAAGUUUCCCGCCUGGGGGAGUACGCACGCAAGUGUGAAACUCAAAGGAAUUGACGGGGGCCCGCACAA